rnacentral:rRNA from 1 species
UACAGAGGUCCCGAGCGUUGUCCGGAUUCAUUGGGCGUAAAGGGUGUGUAGGUGGCGCCGUUAGUCGGGUGUGAAAUUUCGGAGCUUAACUCCGAAACUGCAUUCGAUACUGCGGUGCUCGAGGACUGGAGAGGAGAUUGGAAUUCACGGUGUAGCAGUGAAAUGCGUAGAUAUCGUGAGGAAGACCAGUGGCGAAGGCGGAUCUCUGGACAGUUCCUGACGCUGAGGCACGAAGGCCAGGGGAGCAAACGGG